rnacentral:rRNA from 1 species
UACCCAUGUCCAGGAUGAAGGUAAGGUAAUACUUACUGGAGGUCCGAACCCACGCACGUUGAAAAGUGCGGGGAUGAGGUGUGGGUAGCGGAGAAAUUCCAAUCGAACUUGGAGAUAGCUGGUUCUCUCCGAAAUAGCUUUAGGGCUAGCCUCGAGGUAAAGAGUCAUGGAGGUAGAGCACUGUUUGGACUAGGGGCCCUUCUCGGGUUACCGAAUUCAGAUAAACUCCGAAUGCCAUGUACUUAUACUCGGGAGUCAGACUGCGAGUGAUAAGAUCCGUAGUCGAAAGGGAAACAGCCCAGACCACCAGUUAAGGUCCCCAAAUAUAUGUUAAGUGGAAAAGGAUGUGGGGUUGCUUAGACAACCAGGAUGUUGGCUUAGAAGCAGCCACCAUUGAAAGAGUGCGUAAUAGCUCACUGGUCGAGUGACCCCGCGCCGAAAAUGUACCGGGGCUAAACAUAUUACCGAAACUGUGGAUGAACCUCUUUAGAGGUUCGUGGUAGGAGAGCGUUCUAAGGGCGGUGAAGUCAGACCGGAAGGACUGGUGGAGCGCUUAGAAGUGAGAAUGCCGGUAUGAGUAGCGAAAGAAGGGUGAGAAUCCCUUCCACCGAAUAUCUAAGGUUUCCUGAGGAAGGCUCGUCCGCUCAGGGUUAGUCGGGACCUAAGCCGAGGCCGAUAGGCGUAGGCGAUGGACAACAGGUAGAGAUUCCUGUACCAGUGCUAAUUGUUUAACCGAUGGGGUGACACAGAAGGAUAGGGAAUCGCACGAAUGGAAAUGUGCGUCCAAGCAGUGAGUGUGAGAAGUAGGCAAAUCCGCUUCUCGCGAAGCAUGAGCUGUGAUGGGGAAGGAAAUUAAGUACGGAAGUUCCUGAUUUCACGCUGUCAAGAAAAGCCUCUAGGAAGAGUAGUACUGCCCGUACCGCAAACCGACACAGGUAGAUGAGGAGAGAAUCCUAAGGUGAGCGAGAGAACUCUCGUUAAGGAACUCGGCAAAAUGACCCCGUAACUUCGGGAGAAGGGGUGCUCUAUUAGGGUGCAAGCCCGAGAGAGCCGCAGUGAAUAGGCCCAGGCGACUGUUUAGCAAAAACACAGGUCUCUGCAAAACCGUAAGGUGACGUAUAGGGGCUGACGCCUGCCCGGUGCUGGAAGGUUAAGAGGAGUGCUUAGCUUCGGCGAAGGUACGAAUUGAAGCCCCAGUAAACGGCGGCCGUAACUAUAACGGUCCUAAGGUAGCGAAAUUCCUUGUCGGGUAAGUUCCGACCCGCACGAAAGGCGCAACGAUCUGGGCACUGUCUCAACGAGAGACUCGGUGAAAUUAUAGUACCUGUGAAGAUGCAGGUUACCCGCGACAGGACGGAAAGACCCCGUGGAGCUUUACUGCAACCUGAUAUGGAAUGUUUGUACCGCUUGUACAGGAUAGGUAGGAGCCGAAGAGACGUGUGCGCUAGCAUACGAGGAGGCAAUGGUGGGAUACUACCCUGGCUGUAUGACCAUUCUAACCCGCCACGCUUAGCGCGUGGGGAGACAGUGUCAGGUGGGCAGUUUGACUGGGGCGGUCGCCUCCUAAAGAGUAACGGAGGCGCCCAAAGGUUCCCUCAGAAUGGAUGGAAAUCAUUCGCAGAGUGUAAAGGCACAAGGGAGCUUGACUGCGAGACUGACAAGUCGAGCAGGGACGAAAGUCGGGCUUAGUGAUCCGGUGGUUCCGCAUGGAAGGGCCAUCGCUCAACGGAUAAAAGCUACCCCGGGGAUAACAGGCUUAUCUCCCCCAAGAGUCCACAUCGACGGGGAGGUUUGGCACCUCGAUGUCGGCUCGUCGCAUCCUGGGGCUGUAGUCGGUCCCAAGGGUUGGGCUGUUCGCCCAUUAAAGCGGCACGCGAGCUGGGUUCAGAACGUCGUGAGACAGUUCGGUCCCUAUCCGUCGCGGGCGCAGGAAAUUUGAGAGGAGCUGUCCUUAGUACGAGAGGACCGGGAUGGACACACCGCUGGUGUACCAGUUGUUCCGCCAGGAGCAUCGCUGGGUAGCUAUGUGUGGCAGGGAUAAACGCUGAAAGCAUCUAAGCGUGAAGCCCCCCUCAAGAUGAGAUUUCCCAUUUCUUCGGAAAGUAAGAUCCCUGAAAGAUGAUCAGGUAGAUAGGUUUGGAGUGGAAGUGUAGCGAUACAUGGAGCGGACAAAUACUAAUCGAUCGAGGACUUAACCAAAA